rnacentral:rRNA from 1 species
UAGGGAAUCUUCCGCAAUGGGCGAAAGCCUGACGGAGCAACGCCGCGUGAGUGAUGAAGGUCUUCGGAUCGUAAAACUCUGUUAUUAGGGAAGAACAUAUGUGUAAGUAACUGUGCACAUCUUGACGGUACCUAAUCAGAAAGCCACGGCUAACUACGUGCCAGCAGCCGCGGUAAUACGUAGGUGGCAAGCGUUAUCCGGAAUUAUUGGGCGUAAAGCGCGCGUAGGCGGUUUUUUAAGUCUGAUGUGAAAGCCCACGGCUCAACCGUGGAGGGUCAUUGGAAACUGGAAAACUUGAGUGCAGAAGAGGAAAGUGGAAUUCCAUGUGUAGCGGUGAAAUGCGCAGAGAUAUGGAGGAACACCAGUGGCGAAGGCGACUUUCUGGUCUGUAACUGACGCUGAUGUGCGAAAGCGUGGGGAUCAAACAGGAUUAGAUACCCUGGUAGUCCACGCCGUAAACGAUGAGUGUUAAGUGUUAGGGGGUUUCCGCCCCUUAGUGCUGCAGCUAACGCAUUAAGCACUCCGCCUGGGGAGUACGACCGCAAGGUUG